rnacentral:rRNA from 1 species
UACGGAGGGUGCAAGCGUUAUCCGGAUUCACUGGGUUUAAAGGGUGCGUAGGCGGCCACCGCAAGUCGACUGUGAAAUCUCCGGGCUUAACCCGGAAAGGUCAGCCGAUACUGCGGGGCUAGAGUGCAGAAGGGGCAACUGGAAUUCUCGGUGUAGCGGUGAAAUGCGUAGAUAUCGAGAGGAACACCUGCGGCGAAGGCGGGUUGCUGGGCUGACACUGACGCUGAUGUGCGAAAGCUAGGGGAGCGAACGGG